rnacentral:rRNA from 1 species
CAGUAGCCGCGGUAAUACGAAGGGUGCAAGCGUUACUCGGAAUUACUGGGCGUAAAGCGUGCGUAGGUGGUGGUUUAAGUCCGUUGUGAAAGCCCUGGGCUCAACCUGGGAAUUGCAGUGGAUACUGGGUCACUAGAGCGUGGUAGAGGAUAGUGGAAUUUCCGGUGUAGCAGUGAAAUGCGUAGAGAUCGGAAGGAACAUCUGUGGCGAAGGCGACUAUCUGGGCCAACACUGACACUGAGGCACGAAAGCGUGGGGAGCAAACGGGAUUAGAUACCCUCGUAGUCCCUGUCUCUUAUAC